CUGAGCCUACGAGUGACUAGAGAAGGCCAGCCAACCCUUGUAUAUAAAGUGCAGUGGUGCGUAAGGGUUUUGCAGUUUUAAAAUAAAUCUCAACGCUCCAUGGUAAAGGGUGUCAAUUGAUCUCAAACACUGAGCGGAGCAUUCAUAUAUAAAAUAUCACCAUAGUUUAGUAUAUGCAUAAAUGUAGCUGAUACUCGCCUCCUGGCUUCAAAAGAAAAACAGGCCUUAUUCCUGAAAUAAAUCUGCAACUUCAGCUUCAAUUAUUUUGUAAGUUGUUGAAUAUGCAAUUUAAAAGAGAGGCCUUCAUCAAUUAAAAUUCCAAGAAAUGUAUAUGAGGUUACAGCCUCAAACUCAUUGCCCUGACAGGUAGUAAUAGGUGAAAGUUUCAGAGGUCUAUUUCUUGCUUUAGAAAACACCAUUAGUUGAGUUUUGUCAGCAUUGAGGAUACGCUUCAAUUGACACAAGGUAUGUUCAACAGUAUAAAAAGAAGUUUGCAAGUUCUGGAAAGCUUUUAUGAGAGAGAGGGCACAACAAUAAAUAGCAGUAUCAUCAGCAUAAAAGUGAACAUAAUAUUCAGUGCUGUCUAAUUGGGAGUAUAAUUAUGUUCUCUGUUCUCAAAUACAGAGAGCUGUGAAAGCCUGUCUGCAGAUGAUGAGGAGUGGUUCUCAGUCCUGGUCCUGGGGACUCAAAGGGGUGUACAUUUUUGUUUUUGUCUUAGCACUACACAGCUGAUUCAAAUGAUCAUCUCAUCAUCAAGCUUCAAACGAUACCUUGUAACUGGAGAUUCCUUCAAAACGAUUGCCUACAGUUACCGUGUAGGGCACUGCAAGGUUGGGUGACCAGGGCCACCUGGGACUGCCUCGUGGGGGAAUUCAGGCGUGUGUGAAGGCUACCUGUAUCCUGCAUAACUUCAUGAGGAUGGACACGAGGACCAGGAGGGGACCUGCAGCUUGCCGCCGUGUGCCAGAGGAGAGGUCUGCUGCUCUGCAGGAUGUUGCAAGGAUGGGGGCCAGCAAUGCAGCACGGGAGGCAAUCCGUGUGGGGAGGCCUUCACCUCCUACUUCUUCGGAGAGGGUGCUGUUCCCUGGCAACACCAUAUACUACACUAUGCACAACCAAAGGCUCUUUUAAGAGCCACCCACAUUGCAAUAAGAGUAUUCUUCCAUUUACUUAGCUAUGUCAACUGCAGUUAUUCAAUUCCCAGUUUCUCUCCCUUUUAUGUAUACUUCUCAGGUGAGGGUGCUGUUCAGGUAAGGGUGAUGUCUGUACAUUAACAAAACAGGCUCUUUUAAGAGUCACCCAUAUUGAAAAAAUGUAGAACAAUAAGACACCCUACAACCCACACCUACACACUCUUGUAUCCAUUUGAUUGAUGGAUUGUGUUGUGCAGUAAGCAGGCUCAGGUGUAUAACUGUGGCUCCUUCCAACUUCAAAGAAUAGGCAAGAGGACCAACCAUGGAGAAUAGUAGGAUACUCCAUUAUUUAUAUUUAAGUAACUACGCUAUAUUGUUUGUCCUCGUGUGCCUGUGCAUGUUUUUCAGUAUAAAGUACUCUGCAGCCACACACACAGAUUCCUGUUGACACUGUCUCAUUAACUACCUUAUUUUCUCAAUAACAAUUUCCCCCCUUCUCCCUAAAUCCUCUAGGUUAUAUCAGCUGUGUCGGUGAACCCCUCCCGCUUCUGAACUGCCUAACACAGCAUGAUCAGAGGUAUGUUUUGAUGUGAGAGAGGAUGCCAACCCCCAGUCCCGUCAUCGCCACCUCACCCACUCUAAGAUAACCCUCUGGCCAACUGGGGGCCCAAGAAUGGUUAGGAGACACUGUUAGAGACACUAUUAUGUAAUUGUGAUGACCUGAGAGAAUAUUAAGUUUAGUAGCACUGUAAUUCAUUUAUCAUAUGCUGCCUUCCCUGCUCCUCUGUUCUUCCCUCUUUCCCUUUCUGUCUUUUACACUCUUUCUUACACCUCUCUACCCACCUCCUCUUUCUUCCUCUGUUUUUAUAAUGCACACCAGAUGUGCAUUGAAGUACAGAUUGAACUUGUAUUUAUAUUAUAGUAUUACAAUUAUAAUAUUUAUAAUGCAUGUAUUAUGUAUUUAUAACACUUGGAUAAUGAACUUCUUUCAAUAAAGCUUUUCACAUUCUC